rnacentral:rRNA from 1 species
CCUACGGGAGGCAGCAGUGAGGAAUAUUGGUCAAUGGUCGGGAGACUGAACCAGCCAAGCCGCGUGAGGGAUGAAGGUACAGAGUAUCGUAAACCUCUUUUGUCAGGGAACAAAGGCGGGGACGCGUCCCCGGAUGAGUGUACCUGAAGAAAAAGCAUCGGCUAACUCCGUGCCAGCAGCCGCGGUAAUACGGAGGAUGCGAGCGUUAUCCGGAUUUAUUGGGUUUAAAGGGUGCGCAGGCGGUCUGUUAAGUCAGCGGUCAAAGCCCGGGGCUCAACUUCGGAAUUGCCUCUGAUACUGUUCGGCUAGAGAGUAGUUGCGGUAGGCGGAAUGUAUGGUGUAGCGGUGAAAUGCUUAGAGAUCAUACAGAACACCGAUUGCGAAGGCAGCUUACCAAGCUACUUCUGACGUUGAGGCACGAAAGCGUGGGGAGCAAACAGGAUUAGAUACCCUGGUAGUC